rnacentral:lncRNA from 1 species
GCGAGUCUUGUUCCAUAUUUUUGGAUGAAACAAAAAAAUUGCAACUUUUUUUUUUGUCUCAUUGACAUUAGUGUCUGUCAUAGUUCAAUGCAUGCGAAACACAGUACAGCCAGUACAGUAUAGCCAGAGCCAGGAGAGUCCUGUCUGUGUCUGUCCCGGCUCUGGCUGCACUGUACUGUCUAGGUAUUAAGCUAAUUUUGUUGUGUUCUUUGUUUGCAGAUUCCUGAGGAAGCACCUCCAGAAGGAGUCAUUUGUUAGGGUAAUCUAUCAGAUUCAGAUCAUCAUUUUUUUUUUGGGUGAGGACUUUUUUGGAAACCUAAUUUUUAUGAGACUUUGGGGUUUUGUUGUUGUAUACAAAAAGAAAAGAUGCUAUGCUAUUGAAAGUACAAAAAUAGAAAACAUAUUGUAGUUGGUGUCAUGAGGAUGUUAAGGCCAUAUUUGUUACUGGGACAGGAUUGGAGAGCUUAGAGAAGCUAUUUUUGAAGAUUAUUGGAGGUUAGGAGGGCAUUUAUGCCUUUUGUACAAAGAAGAGAUAUGGAUGAUUAGGUUAUGCAUUACAAAGAAGAGAUAUGAAUGAUUAAGUUACGCAUUACAAAGUAAAUAGUUACUUGUGUUGACCUGCUUCUAUAUGGGGUCAUUACCUUUAAGGCAUUAAAAGAUGGGUAUUUCAAGUUAGUAUUUAUUUUGUUUAUUAGUUAAUUAAUAAGUUAUUGACAAAUAAGAGAUAUGAAUGAUUAAGUUAUGGAUUAUAAAGAAGAGAUAUGAAUAACUAAGUUAUACGUUACAAAGUAAAUAGUUAUUUGUGUUCGGUUUCUAUACGUUGUCAUUAUCUUUAAGGCUUUAAAAGAUUGGUCAAACUAAACUAUUUCAAGUUAGUAGCUAUUUUGUGUUGGGCUUCUACGCUUUGUCAAUACCUUUAAGGCUUCAAAAAGAUCGGUCAAACUGAACUAUUUCAAGUUAGUAUCUAUUUUAUUUAUUAGUUAAUUAAUACUCUCUUCGUCCCAAAUUAAUUGUCAACUUUUGACUUUUGAAGUUUUUUUUUCUUCAACUUUGACCUUAAAUAUUUUUAUUUGUGUUAUAUAUUAUUUGAUGAAACUUAUUACAAUGAAAAGACAUUUAAUAUACAAUCCAUUCAUAUACUUUGUAUUAAAUAUUAUCUAUCAAAAAGAAAAAUAUUUAAGGUAAAAAUUGAGAAUAAAGACUGAAAAAGUCAAAUGUGGACAAUUAAUUUGGGACGGAGGUAGUAAGUUAUUGACAAGAAGAUAUAUGAAUGAUAUGAAUGAUUAAGUUAUGCAUUACAAAGAAGAUAUAUGAAUGAUUAAGUUAUGUAUUCCAAAGUAAAUAGUUACUUGUGUUGGGCUUCUAUAUGUUAUCAUUACCUUUAAGGCUUUAAAAGAUCAGUCAUAUUGAACUAUUUCAAGUUAGUAUCUAUUUUGUUUGUUACUUAAUUAAUAAGUAAUUUACAAAGAAGAGAUAUGAAUGACUAAGUUAUUCAUUACAAAGUCGAGAUAUGAAUGAUUAAAUUAUGUGUUACAAAGUAAAUAGUUACAUGUAAGUUACAUGUGUUGAGCUUCUAUAUGUAUUCAUUACCUUUAAGGCUUUAAAAGAUUGGUCAAACCGAACAAUUUCAAGUUAAUAGGUAUUUUGUUUAUUACGUAAUUAAUAAGUUAUUGACAAAUAAGAGAUAAAUGAUUAAACUAUACAUUAAAAAGAAGAGAUACGAAUGAUUAAGUUAUGCGUUACAAA